rnacentral:rRNA from 1 species
UACGGGGGGAGCAAGCGUUGUUCGGAUUUACUGGGCGUAAAGGGCGCGUAGGCGGUCAGCACAAGUCAGUUGUGAAAUCUCCGGGCUUAACUCGGAACGGUCAAGUGAUACUGUUGUGCUAGAGUGCGGAAGGGGCAACUGGAAUUCUCGGUGUAGCGGUGAAAUGCGUAGAUAUCGAGAGGAACACCUGCGGCGAAGGCGGGUUGCUGGGCCGACACUGACGCUGAUGCGCGAAAGCCAGGGGAGCGAACGGG